AUACAUUUAGUUUGAGAAACAAAAUUCAAUCCCAAAAGUCAAAACAUCAUUUUUCGUAGGUUUCUUGAUUUUAAGAAAAAUGUGAAUGACACAUGUUUUUCUUUCUUAUUUUAUUAAAGGAUAUUUACUGUGCCACCACUUGAAAAAUGUCAUAAUGAUAAGACCACCUCCUCUCUGUUUUAUCAAAUUAUUCUCAGAUGUUACAUAUAUAUUCACUGUUAAGUGAAGUGUUGAAAUGACUGUUAUACCUUUGUCAUUAAGACCACCUGACCUAUACUUACCUUCACCGAGACAUCAAACGCAGAGGCGAUUGUUCAAAGCAUCGGAGAUCACAACGGCAACGGUGACGGCGACGACAACGGCCACAGCGACCACAACAAACACCGACAGCGGCAACCAGUAAGAACUCACGGCGACCGAUCAGAUACCCAAGUCCAUUUGGGCUGGGGAGCCCUAAUAUUUGGUAAGAUUAACUCACUGACUGUAACCGUUCCAUUUUCCGGCGUUCCGUCUAUCCUGAAAAUUGGUUUUCCCUCGAUCAGACUUCCUUUCCCUCUCUCUCUCUCUCUCUCUCUCUUCGAUUCCUUUCUUCCCAACUCACCAACGACUCCUUUACAUGCUCUCCACUUCUCUCUCUAUGCGUCUCUAUCCAAAUCAAAAUUCCGUUUCUUGUGUCGAAUGCUACUAUUCCGUUUCUUGUGUCAAAUGCUACUCUCACGCUCUCAUCCAUGGCAUUUCUCUCUCUACUGAUCGUUCUCUCCCUCUUUGCCGCCGUUUGUUGCCAAUCGUCACCUCCUAAAGGGUUUCUAAUUGAUUGCGGCGCCACCGUUCCAUCAGUAAUCGACAACCGGCAAUGGUUACCCGACGGCAAUUACGUUUCUGCUGGGGUGCCCAAAACAGUAUCCAUUCCGGUUCUUCUUCCGACUCUUUCCACUCUCUGCUAUUUCCCUCUUCUUGUCGAUGCUCAACGGAAAUUCUGCUGCGUUGUUCCGGCGUACCGAGGUGAAAAGCAACUCCUUCGGACUACCUACUUUUAUGGGGGAGAUGAACGGUGUAGAUCCCGCCGGUGUUUGAUCAGAUUGUGGAUGGGACGGGCUGGAGUGAUAUUAUCUGUACUGUAUUAUAUGGGUAUUUUAGUUAUUUUAUACCCAACCGUUUCUUUUUUAUUAAAUAUAAAGGUAUUUUGGUAUUUAAAAUAAAAUAUAGUAGCUGACAUCAGCAUAUAAGGUAUAUUCCUUAUUAGUGA